UAGUCCACGCCGUAAACGAUGACAACUAGCCGUUGGGGGCCUUGAGCCUUUAGUGGCGCAGCUAACGCGAUAAGUUGUCCGCCUGGGGAGUACGGCCGCAAGGUUAAAACUCAAAUGAAUUGACGGGGCCCGCACAAGCGGUGGAGCAUGUUGUUUAAUUCGAUGCAACGCGAAGAACCUUACCACCCCUUGACAUCCUCGGAACUUGGCAGAGAUGCCUUGGUGCCUUCGGGAACCGAGUGACAGGUGCUGCAUGGCUGUCGUCAGCUCGUGUCGUGAGAUGUUGGGUUAAGUCCCGUAACGAGCGCAACCCUUGUCCUUAUUUGCCAGCACAUUAUGGUGGGAACUCUAAGGAGACUGACGGUGACAAACCGGAGGAAGGUGGGGAUGACGUCAAGUCAUCAUGGGCCCUUAUGGGGCUGGGGCUACACACGUGCUACAAUGGUCGGUACAGACGGCUGCAAACCCGCGAGGGGGAGCUAAUCCGAGAAAACCGA
rnacentral:rRNA from 1 species